CCUACGGGUGGCAGCAGUGAGGCAUAUUGGUCAAUGGACGAGAGUCUGAACCAGCCAAGUAGCGUGAAGGAUGACUGCCCUAUGGGUUGUAAACUUCUUUUAUAUGGGAAUAAAAUGUUCCACGUGUGGGAUUUUGUAUGUACCAUAUGAAUAAGGAUCGGCUAACUCCGUGCCAGCAGCCGCGGUAAUACGGAGGAUCCGAGCGUUAUCCGGAUUUAUUGGGUUUAAAGGGAGCGUAGGUGGAUUGUUAAGUCAGUUGUGAAAGUUUGCGGCUCAACCGGAAAAUUGCAGUUGAAACUGGCAGUCUUGAGUACAGUAGAGGUGGGCGGAAUGCGUGGUGUAGCGGUGAAAUGCUUAGAUAUCACGAAGAACGCCGAUUGCGAAGGCAGUUCACUGGACUGCAACUGACACUGAGGCUCGAAAGUGUGGGUAUCAAACAGGAGUAGAUACCCGAGUAGUC
rnacentral:rRNA from 1 species